UCCAGUACCAAGCAAGCUCCACGGGCUGACUUUAACCCCUUAAGGACACAUUACAUGUGUGACAUGUCAUGAUUCCCUUUUAUUCCAGAAGUUUGGUCCUUAAGGGGUUAAAGACAAUUUCAGCCAGUGCCUUAUGUGGUCCAAUCAAAGACUUCUCAUAGACAAGCUUUAAUUGAACCGUUUUGCCAUCUCAGGGUGCAUGCGUGCUAUCUGAGCAAGGAAGGGGCGGUAACGGUUAGAUUAUAAAAAAUAAAAAAUAUAUAUACUAAUGAGAGGAUAAAGAGGCAGGGAGGGCAAGUGCUUUCCCUUGCGGGCUCUGUAUAAUCUUUAUGCUACAUUAAUUUUAGGAAAGAAGAAAGGGUGAGAAUAUGAAGGCUUGGUUUUGUAAAGUUUAUCAGGGUUAUUAACUAAAGUGGUAAUUCGAAGUAAAUUUCACAUUUAAGGCCAAAGUAGCUGACGUGCUAAAAUAUAGAAUUUUCCAAUUUGGCUAUAUUUACCUUAAUUUUUAAAUUAACUUUGAAAUCUCACUUUAGUGAGUAACCCUGGAUAAUCUGUAAAACUUCUGAAUUUAAACUAAUUUAUUUUGCUUUGAUACAGAACAUGAAUCAAGUAUCAUUAAGCGCAGGGGUGGGCAAUCUUUGGCCCCUUCAGAUGUUAUGGACUACAUCUCCCAUGAUGCUUUGCUAGCAUUAUGGCCCUAAGAGCAUUAUGGGAGAUGUAGUCCAAAACAUCUGGAGGGCCGCAGAUUGCCCACCCCUGACAUAGCGUGUAUUGGUAUCAUCAAUCACCAUUCCAAAACUACCUUUUAAAUGAUUGUAUACCAUGUACCCCAAGUAGGCCUUUAAAAGUAAAAGCGUGUCUAUAGUUAAAUAUAAGGUUUUAACACCAAAUUCCAAUAUAUUCUCAUAUAUUCCUGUACUGGACUAGUUUGACUGAGGAAACUAUGACAUAAUAAACAUAGCAAGCUAAUGCAAAAAAGUCCUCUAUUCCAAUAAAUGACACCAGCUAAAUGUGGCACUAUCAACAGAAUAGUAAGUAAGGCCAGACUUGAUCUACAUACAAAAUAGUAGAGAUAGCAAAAUAUGUGUAUUUGUUCUUUAAUGUUUAAAUUGUAGCCCAAAAGCUGCAAUCCACUCCCCCAUUACUGAUUAGAUGAAUAAUCCUAAUUAUCAUCCUAUUACUCAAAUAGCUCAUUUGCUGGCAGGUUUUAGGAAGUGUAAGAAAAUAUAUAUGCUCUAGAUUCCGUACACAGAUUGUGAAGAAGAAAAAAAAUCGCAAAAUAAAAAAGAAUGUAAAUGAGUUGCAAAUAUUCUCCGUCUCAGCAAUAUUAUGCUAUGCUGUUUUACCGUUUGCACAAUAAAAUCUCCGUUCCCCAAAAAUCACUGAGCAAACCCCUGCAUUAUACAAGGUAUCAAUGUAAGAAGUCUGGGCUUGUUUUAACAUAACUUAUCUUUGGGAAGAACUUUCAAAGCCUCAUCAGCAGACCUCGGACGUUUCUUUAAACCCUGCUAGCGCCUGGCCACUUAGAAGAAAUCGAAAGUAAAUCUAAACAGGAUUAUUCGAUGGAAUGUCCAUAGUUACAUUAAUGUGGUUUUACAGCUCCCCCUCUCCCCAUACUUACAGACACAGCUGUAUGUCAGGCACUAGGUAGUAAACAAACACUAAUGUCGUAGUCAGAGCCUCUCUUGGAUACAGAGGGUUCUAAACCUGAGUUCUUUCCUUCGUGUAGAAAGUUGAAAGCUUCAGUGUUGGCGACCUUUCUGCACGAUAUGUCAAACACAGCUCUCCAGGAUGCAGUGGGCGUAGCAAGGCGUCUCGUUUGUUUGGGUGUCUGGGAAGUCGCAGCUAGGCAUUGAAGUUCCCCUAUGUUUUCUGAGGGUGAUCAUUCAAGUGAAUGCGAAGCUCUGUGUAAGCUGCAACACGCUGUCAUGUGCUCUUUUCUCACAGUUCCUUAAUAACGUGGAUAUUGUGCAAUGCAAAUUGUGUGGAUAACUAAAUAUUUUGUUUCAGUGCCGCAAACAGAACUUCGCUGGGGAAGUGUUAGAUAAAUUAUGGUUUGGUACUUUCC